rnacentral:lncRNA from 10 species
AACUGUCCAGGCUCCGCCACCAGCGCUCGGCCGCCGACUCCGGCUCCGGAAGGGAGGCCCGGGACGCGGCGGUUUUGUUAUUGGCAGGGAAGAGACCUGGGUUCCCGAUCGAACACAGAGGCCGAGCGCAGCAGUCCCCCACUGGGGUGCUGGGACCGCCCCUCGGGUGGGCGGACGGCUUUAGCUUCCUACCCCGGGUUGUGACCGGGUGGGGUCACAUAAGUUCAGGUCCACGCCCUGCUCGGUGCCGGCGCCAGGAGAG